AGCUUUGCGCAGUGGCAUUAUCGUAACCAAUGAGGUUUAUCCGAGGUGCGAUUAUUACUGGGAGACGUUUGUGAAACAUUUAAAAAGUUCAUAUUGGUUAAAGCGGCACCCCCCUCCUCGUGGGCUCCUAGUGGACAACGACGGGUAGGCUAUAAGUCGAUCUA